rnacentral:rRNA from 1 species
AUUCCGGUUGAUCCUGCCGGAGGUCAUUGCUAUUGGGGUCCGAUUUAGCCAUGCUAGUUGCACGAGUUCACACUCGUGGCGAAAAGCUCAGUAACACGUGGCCAAACUACCCUACAGAGAACGAUAACCUCGGGAAACUGAGGCUAAUAGUUCAUACGGGAGUCAUGCUGGAAUGCCGACUCUCCGAAACGCUCAGGCGCUGUAGGAUGUGGCUGCGGCCGAUUAGGUAGACGGUGGGGUAACGGCCCACCGUGCCGAUAAUCGGUACGGGUUGUGAGAGCAAGAGCCCGGAGACGGAAUCUGAGACAAGAUUCCGGGCCCUACGGGGCGCAGCAGGCGCGAAACCUUUACACUGCACGCAAGUGCGAUAAGGGGACCCCAAGUGCGAGGGCAUAUAGUCCUCGCUUUUCUCGACUGUAAGGCGGUCGAGGAAUAAGAGCUGGGCAAGACCGGUGCCAGCCGCCGCGGUAAUACCGGCAGCUCAAGUGAUGACCGAUAUUAUUGGGCCUAAAGCGUCCGUAGCCGGCCAU